CUACGGGAGGCAGCAGUGAGGAAUAUUGCACAAUGGGGGGAACCCUGAUGCAGCAACGCCGCGUGGAGGAUGACGCAUUUCGGUGUGUAAACUCCUUUUAUAUGUCAAGAAAAUGACGGUAGCAUAUGAAUAAGCACCGGCUAACUCCGUGCCAGCAGCCGCGGGAAUACGGAGGGUGCAAGCGUUACUCGGAAUCACUGGGCGUAAAGGACGCGUAGGCGGGUUGGAAAGUCAGGUGUGAAAUCCUACAGCUUAACUGUAGAACUGCACUUGAAACUUCUAAUCUAGAGUAUGGGAGGGGGAGAUGGAGUUAGUGGUGUAGGGGUAAAAUCCGUAGAUAUCACUAGGAAUACCUAAAGCGAAGGCGAUCUCCUGGAACAUUACUGACGCUAAGGCGUGAAAGCGUGGGGAGCAAACAGGAUUAGAUACCCGGGUAGUC
rnacentral:rRNA from 1 species